CGGGGGAGGCCGGAUCCUGGGCUGUGUCCGGGCGCCCUGUGCUCCGGGGCCUGUGCUGUUGGAUUCGCUCCCAGCCGCCCAGCCCCCU
rnacentral:pre_miRNA from 1 species